UAUGAUUCGUAUGUUAGGUGUAAAUCUUACUUAUUUGACUUGUACAAGCGAAUAGAGCAAGCGAAUGGAGAAUAGCUGAGAAACUUCAUCAGUAGCGAUAAUCAUCGGUUGUAAGUCCUGACUCUGAGGAUUUGAAACUCAGCCCGGAGACUAAAUAAACAAUAUGAAUGAAUACUGCGUCGGAAAAGAUCAGGUUUUACACUGCAACUUGGAACGAUAUUAGGUUUACUGACCGCAAACAUUAGUAAAACUCAUUGAAAAAUAGCAUCAUAAGCCAGAAUAAAACAAAAGAAUUUAUGCAAACAAAGACGGUUGGUCGUAAUAUUUUAUUGGUUUUGUCAUAUGACUUGAGUAUAGCAUGAACAAUAUCAUCUUGUUUUAAUCAUGUUGUAAGUAGAUUGUAUCGGCAUAAGCGUUUGUUUCCAUGUCAUUUCUUUUAGUAGUAAAAUAGUAAUUAGGAAAGUAUUGUUUCUAUUUAUAGCACAGUAAAUACGCUGUAAUAAAGCGCAAUGCAUAACGGAAAAUACAGUUUUUGUUAAGCUGGUGAUAUAAAAGAGCUUACAAUAUUAUAGGUUUUCAUAACAUGUUAGCAUUCAGAGGAUAAAUUGAAUAGCACACUGAUAACAAAGGAGAGUUUUAAAGCAAAAACUUAAGCAAAAGAAAUCCGCACUUGUUUCUUCUUUGAGCUGAAAGUAUGAGCUGGGGCAACUCCUGGGGAAACAGUUGGUCAAGCAGCAGUUUCAGUGGCGGAUCUGGAGGUGGUAGCUGGGGCGGGGGCUCAUGGGGGAGCAACUCCAGCAAUAAAGAACCGGAGGGCAUCCAUAAUGCUUCGUGUAUUGCCGGAUGCGGAGGUUGGGGUAACAGUGGACUGAUGAAGAGCUAUUAUGAUGAAAGUUGCUCAGGUUGUAGACAUGACAGGGCCAAAUCUACGUGGGGUAGUCAACCAUCUGGUGGUAACCCUGCAUUGAAAGUUGCAGCAUUGUUUGGAAUCGGUGCUAUGGCAAAGAAGAGUCUUUGGGACUGAAAAAGAACUUGUCUUUAACCCGAAUCCUCAAAGGACAACUUUAAAUGUCCUUGUGACAAAAUUGCGGUAUUAUGUUCAUCUCUAAAUUCAAAAUUGCAAUAAUUUUCCGGCGGCAGUAUAUUCUGUGCAGUUCAUGUAGAAUAUUCUACAAUCGCUGGAAAAAAGUGCUACACAUGAGCAAGCAAUAACUGUCAAGUGAAGUUCUUCAACCUCAUUGGGAGAGAUGAUGUUGUGACGUUAUAAUAAACUUUGUAACAUAUAAAGCAUUAUUGGGCAUUGUGCAAUAUGGUGCAUUUUCUUUUAUUCAUUAAGUGCCAUGAACAAUUCUUUUAUAAAUGAGUCGUGAUAUUAAUUAUGUUUUUGAUAGAAGCAAUUUUAUUUCACAGUCAUACUAAUAACAAAGAAAUAUAUAUAAAUGCAGAUUAUAUAUAACUUAUUG